AGGUGCGAUCAUACCAACACUAAUGCACCGGAUCCCAUCAGAACUCCCCAGGUAAGCGUACCUGGGUGAGAGUAGUACUAGGAUGGCUGACCUCCUGGGAAAUCCUCGUGUGGCACCUC
rnacentral:rRNA from 2 species